GACUGCAACAUCCCCUCACGCCUAGUCUGUAAAGAACUUUGUUUAACCCGGAGGCGGGGCCAGCCAGCUCCGCCCCUCCAGCUGGACGCGGGAGCGAGGUUGAGGUUCAUACCCCUGGGUUCUCUCCAGGCCUGAGGCGGAGAGCCAGCCGCCUGCCUACCUCUGGGCUUUGAACCCCGGGUCUGGUGACUUCGCUUAAAGACCUCGGGCCGAAGGCCCGCCAGGCUCAACCUCGGUUCACAGGACCCCCGACUUGUGUGAGUCGUACACCGCUCUUUACCGUCUCUGGACCUAGGUCAUCUCGGCAGUAAAAUGGGGUGAAAUGACCCGACCUCCCCGGAGGAUGCCGCGCACGAUGUGUGCCUCAAGUUGGCUUCCACUGACCUGAACUGUUAAGAAAGCCCUCCUCAGUGACGCCUUCCCUGAAUCCACAGUGGAGAUUGCCGUUUUCCUGGAACUAAUUCACCCACACUUACCCAUUUCAUCCCUUUCCACCUUUUAUUUCUACCUUUCUGCCCCACUGAUCUCUAGAAUAGGUGCUGGGAGACGUUAGAGUAUUUGAUCUCCCACUCCCCAGUCAUCCCACUUACCGAGCAGUAAUUCUCUGCCUGGCUGCACAUUGCAAUCACUUGGGAAGCCUCUAAAAAUACUGAUGCCAGGGCUCUACCCCAAGCCAGUUAAAAUCUCCAGCGCUGGACCUGGGCAUUGGUACUUUUUGUAAAGCUUUCAGUUUACCAAGAUGAUGCCAGUAUAGCUAGUGAGAUGCAGCACCCCAUCCUCAGCCCCCUCGCCUCUGGAAGAGACACCAGACUGCAAAGGGCACCGCGUACAGAAGCUAACGGAACUUGAAUGACAAGACAAAAAGAGCAGAAUCAGUUAGUGUGACACAACAUUCUAACAUGCCUGAUUCUUACAUCAAAUAUGGUAACUUUGGGGUUGGUAGGGGGAGACAAACAAGGAGAAUCCACUUGGGAACAAUUUGAUGAAGUUUGCAAAUCAGCACUUUACCCCCAAAUUAACAACAGCUUGUAUGGAAAAAAAAAUGCUCUUUUAAAAGUAUAUGGUUUGGACAGGUAUAUUUGUUUUCUCUUGUAGUUUUUGUAAAAAAGUAUCAAAACCUUGGCUUUAAAUAUAUAU
rnacentral:lncRNA from 1 species